rnacentral:rRNA from 1 species
AGUGAACGCUGGCGGUAUGCCUAACACAUGCAAGUCGAACGGCAGCACAGUAAGAGCUUGCUCUUACGGGUGGCGAGUGGCGGACGGGUGAGGAAUACAUCGGAAUCUACUUUUUCGUGGGGGAUAACGUAGGGAAACUUACGCUAAUACCGCAUACGACCUACGGGUGAAAGCAGGGGAUCUUCGGACCUUGCGCGAUUGAAUGAGCCUAUGUCGGAUUAGCUAGUUGGCGGGGUAAAGGCCCACCAAGGCGACGAUCCGUAGCUGGUCUGAGAGGAUGAUCAGACACACUGGAACUGAGACACGGUCCAGACUCCGACGGGAGGAAGCAGUGGGGAAUAUUGGACAAUGGGCGAAAGCCUGAUCCAGCCAUACCGCGUGGGUGAAGAAGGACUUAGGGUGGUAAAGCCAUUUUGUUGGGAAAGAAAAGCAGCAGGUUAAUACCCCGCUGUUAUGACGGUACCCAAAGAAUAAGCACCGGCUAACUUCGUG